rnacentral:rRNA from 1 species
GACGAACGCUGGCGGCGUGCUUAACACAUGCAAGUCGAACGGAAAGGCCCUGCUUGCCGGGUACUCGAGUGGCGAACGGGUGAGUAACACGUGGGUGAUCUGCCCUGCACUUCGGGAUAAGCCUGGGAAACUGGGUCUAAUACCGGAUAGGAGCCAUUUUUAGUGUGAUGGUUGGAAAGUUUUUUCGGUGUAGGAUGAGCUCGCGGCCUAUCAGCUUGUUGGUGGGGUAAUGGCCUACCAAGGCGGCGACGGGUAGCCGGCCUGAGAGGGUGGACGGCCACAUUGGGACUGAGAUACGGCCCAGACUCCUACGGGAGGCAGCAGUGGGGAAUAUUGCACAAUGGGCGCAAGCCUGAUGCAGCGACGCCGCGUGGGGGAUGACGGCCUUCGGGUUGUAAACUCCUUUCGCUAGGGACGAAGCUUUUGUGACGGUACCUAGAUAAGAAGCACCGGCUAACUACG